rnacentral:rRNA from 1 species
GUCACCAUAAUACCCCAUGAUCUCUCCGGAGCAAAGGUUUACCCGCCUUUGGGGAGCGGCGAUCGUCCUAUCAGGUAGUUGGCGGGGUAAAGGCCCACCAAGCCGUAGACGGGUAGCGGGUGUGAGAGCACGGCCCGCGACAUCGAAACUGAGACACUGUUCGGACUCCUACGGGAGGCUGCGGUAACGAAUCUUCCGCAAUGGGCGAAAGCCUGACGGAGCAAUGCCGCGUGUGGGAUGAAGCGUCUCUGACGUGUAAACCACUGUCAGGGGGCAGGAACAAUGACCGCCCCCAAAGGAAGUGGCGACUAACUCUGUG